ACACUGGGACUGAGACACGGCCCAGACUCCUACGGGAGGCAGCAGUGGGGAAUAUUGCGCAAUGGGCGGAAGCCUGACGCAGCGACGCCGCGUGCCGGAUGACGGCCUUCGGGUUGUAAACCUCUUUCACCCAUGACGAAGCGAAAGUGACGGUAGUGGGAGAAGAAGCACCGGCCAACAACGUGCCAGCAGCCGCGGUAAUACGUAGGGUGCAAGCGUUGCCCGGAAUUAUUGGGCGUAAAGAGCUCGUAGGCGGUUUGUUGCGUCGGCUGUGAAAACCUGAGGCUCAACCUCAGGCCUGCCGUCGAUACGGGCAGACUAGAGUGUUGCAGGGGAGACUGGAAUUCCUGGUGUAGCGGUGAAAUGCGCAGAUAUCAGGAGGAACACCGGUGGCGAAGGCGGGUCUCUGGGCAACAACUGACGCUGACGAGCGAAAGCGUGGGGAGCGAACAGGAUUAGAUACCCUGGUAGUCCACGCCGUAAACGUUGGGCGCUAGGUGUGGGGCUCAUUCCACGAGUCCGUGCCGCAGCUAACGCAUUAAGCGCCCCGCCUGGGGAGUACGGCCGCAAGGCUAAACUCAAAGGAAUUGACGGGGGCCCGCACAAGCGGCGGAGCAUGUUGCUUAAUUCGAUGCAACGCGAAGAACCUUACCUAGGCUUGACAUGCACGGAAAUCCUCCAGAGAUGGUGGGUCCGUAAGGGUCGUGCACAGGUGGUGCAUGGUUGUCGUCAGCUCGUGUCGUGAGAUGUUGGGUUAAGUCCCGCAACGAGCGCAACCCUCUUCUAUGUUGCCAGCACGUGAUGGUGGGGACUCAUAGGAGACUGCCGGGUCAACUCGGAGGAAGGUGGGGAUGACGUCAAAUCAUCAUGCCCCUUAUGUCUAGGGCUGCAAACAUGCUACAAUGG
rnacentral:rRNA from 1 species